AAACUUUCAACAACGGAUCUCUUGGCUCUUGCGUCGAUGAAGAACACAGCGAAUUGCGAUAAGUAGUGUGAAUUGCAGAAUUCCGUGAAUCAUCGAAUCUUUGAACGCAUAUUGCACUCUUUGGUAUUCCGAAGAGUAUGCCUGUUUGAGGGUCAUU
rnacentral:rRNA from 1 species